rnacentral:misc_RNA from 1 species
CUCACACUCGCAAUCACAAAUGCAUUAUCUCUAGUAUGUGAUGUGAGAGUCCAUCUCUUUCUACUACCAGUCUGCCUUUUGUCUCUGCAAUGGCUGCUAGUGCUAUUUCCUUUGACCCGGAAAUNNNNAAAUCCCAGCUAUUGUUGAUGGAAAUUGCGAUCUAUCUGUUGAUGGUUCAUGCUUUCAGUUAGUAAAGCCAUGUUUCGAUGAGGUCAACCAGCCGUGCUCUCUAGAUGUUUUGCCUCUGCUUUUUGAGAAGGCUUCGUUUCCAGUGGAAGAAAAAUGUGCCUUCCAGACUGCACAUGGCCAAGAUAUCUAUAGUAUUUCAAUGUUGUCUGAGGAAGACAAAACCAAUCCAAAAUGUACAUCCCAGCUAGCUCUUUUAAGCUUUGUAGAACUUCCUGUUUCACCAAAAAAGCAGAUGUGCUUGGAUCCUCAACUGAAUUGUGAUAACUUCAUUGGUUCACAAAUGGAAAAUGCAGAUGCUUAUUCGCCAUGCAUUGUGGAUAUAGAUAUUGAGAUGAAAAAUUUUGAAAAAAAAAAA